rnacentral:lncRNA from 1 species
CUCAUCAAUCUCCAGCGAUGUGGCUGGUCAUGUGCUUGGUACUGGGGAUGCAGAAAUGAAGACCGUACUUGUCCUCAAGGCAGCUGGAGUACACAGAGAGGAAGGACAAGCAGGGACACGACAAGCUUGGCUGUGAUAAAAGGUGCCACAGGGAUGCGUGACCAAGGCUGGCCCAGGUCACUACCCUGUCAACUUGGGAAUGAAACACAGGGCCAAAAGGCCACAAAUGAUGACUUCAAGCACUAUUUUGUCACAUGCACUUUAUGGAUCAAGAGAUUUGACUACAUAAAAUUAAAAUGUCAAAAAAUACAAAAUGAAUUGGAAGCAAAAACUACCAAGUAAAGAUAUUUAAAAGAAACAUAAAGCUCCUGCUGAAAAAGAGUAUUAAGAUCAUGAAUAAAAGGACAA